rnacentral:piRNA from 1 species
UCUGUGCUGAGAACAGAGAAGAGGACCUU